GCACCUGUAGCGCAGUGCUCAGCACACAUCCUCGAAAAGGGUAAGACGCGGGUUCAAUUCUCGCCUGAGACA